rnacentral:rRNA from 1 species
AACCUUUAUUUUACUAGGUAAGUCAGUUAAGAACAAAUUCUUAUUUUCAAUGACGGCCUAAGAACAGUAGGUUAACUGCCUGUUCAGGGGCAGAACGACAGAUUUUGUACCUUGUCAGCUCGGGGAUUUGAACUUGCAACCUUUCGGUUACUAGUCCAAUGCUCUAACCACUAGGUUACCCUGCCGCUACCCUGCCGCCCCAAGUUCCGGCGGCGUUCGGUGAGCUCUCGCUGGCAAGUGAAAAUCUGGGGAGAGGGUGUAAAUCUCACGCCGGGCCGUACCCAUAUCAGCAGCAGGUGUCGAUCUAUAAGCCCUGAUAAUGGUGAAGUGGGCAAUAAACAUACAGUAAAUCAAAUACAGUAAAUCAAAUACAGUAAAUCAAAUACAGUACAAGAAAGGGGAACAAUAUAUAACCGUAAACAAAAAACGGUUGCCGGUCGGAGGGCCGUUGUGCGAAAUAGACCAAUGAGGAGUGGAUAAACGGCGCGAGACUCUACGAACCUCCGAAGACGGGAUAGGCUCCUCCUUACCCUCGGUAUGUGGUUCUGAGCCGGGAGUUGGCUUAGGCUUCUCGUCCGAGCUCAGUUCCCCGCAUUGCCACAUCGCCUGGGUUGCGCCCAACCAGCUCAAUUCCCCCUUUCUCGGUGGUGCACCUGUGGACAGGUGCGUCGGCCGCGUCUGAAGGGGAUAAGGGGUUGCUGGUAAACCAGGUCUUCCCAACUUGGGCUCCAAUACCAAGCGCCUGCCCACAGGAUAGUAUGAGCAGGUAACAGAGGGGCCCUCUAGUAGGACCCCUCCGGUCCCUUCUUGCAUGACACCUGGCCGGGGCAGGUCAAACUGUCUCUGAUAUGGGAACGGAUAUGGGUUAGUUCAGGGAGGUAAGGGAGGUAGCCCUCUAGUAGGGCACUUCCAACCCCUCCUUGUAGGUCACCUGUUCACAGGUGUUGAUAACGAUGAAAACAAGUGUAGCCAACCAGAGAAUGGUGGCUCGAACACAUCCCCAGCUCCGGCUGGGAGGAGGGAACUAAGUUCAGAGAGACGACUGAAGGAGCUCCGGCUGGGAGGAGGGAACUAAAGUUCAGAGAGACGACUGAAGGAGCUUCGGCUGGGAGGAGGGAACUAAGUUCAGAGAGACGACUGAAAGAGCUUCAGCAACAUCAGUCCGAUCACAGAGCCUCUGUGGUGAAACGUUUAAACGCUCGUCACCCACAUACUUAGGCAACUAGCUUCUCGGAGCAUGAAGUGGGAUGGCAUGUGACUAACCGUUAGCAAAAACAUACUGUCUACGGAUGGGUCCUAGGUUCCGAGGUCCCGGGGGUAAUAACUAUCCCCAUGGUGAAUAGAGCGGAUAAAUAUGCAGGCCGAAAGGGAGGUACACUACAUGCAUACGCGCACAUGGUCAGGGGCGGAAUGGUAACAUGUAUCACUCACACCGGCGAAACCAGCACAUAGUGUUAGAGUUCCUUACAAAUGCAGAGGGCCAUCCGACGCACGGUAGAAUAAUCCCUCUCUUUUUGUGUCACCCUCAGGUCUCUCGCAGUGACGGACGGAGUCAAGCAGUAGGAAUCGGAUGCCCUCUCCAGCUGGAGGAUGCCAGAUACAGUAGCGCUAGUCCUCGGCGACCUCGUUUCCAGGUAAGUAGUGCGCAGCUCGUAGGCCGACUGACGGCCAGUCGAUAAGCCGGAAGCGAGUCCACCCUGCCAUGCGGAUCAACCGAGGGUGAAAUGGAGACGAGUCCCGCUUCGACCGGUGCUCCUCAUGUCAAAGUGAAGAAAUUCAAUGAAGCAUGGGUAAAGGGCGGGAGUGAUUAUGACUUGAUUAAGGUAGGCAAAUGCCUCGUCCUCUAAUUAGUGACGUGCAUGAAUGGAUGAACGAGAUUCACACUGUCCCAAGGGAACGGGCUUGGCGGAAUCAGGGGGCAAAGAAGACCAGAAGACCCUGUUGAGCUUGACUCUAGUCUGGCACUGUGAAGAGACAUGAGAGGUGUAGAACAAGUGGGAGGCCCCGGCCGCCGGUGAAAUACCACUACUCAUCGUUUUUUCACUUACCCGGUGAGGCGUGGAGGCGAGCCCCGAGGUGGCUCUUGCUUCUGGCGUCAAGUACCUGGCAACCCGAUCCGGGGACAGUGGCAGGUGGGGAGUUUGACUGGGGCGGUACACCUGUCAAACGGUAAUGCAGGUGCCCUAAGGCAAGCUUAGGGAGGACAGAAACCUCCAGUGGAGCAGAAGGGCACAAGCUUGAUUGAUCUUGAUUUUCAGUAUGAAUGCAGACCGUGAAAGCAGGGCCUCAUGAUCCUUCUGACUUUUUGGGUUUUAAGCAGGAGGUGUCAGAAAAGUUACCACAGGGAUAACUGGUUUGUGGCGGCCAAGCGUUCAUAGUUACGUCACUUUUUGAUCCUUCGAUGUCGGCUCUUCCUAUCAUUGUGAAGCAGAAUUCACCAAGCUUGUUCACCCACUAAUAGGGAACGUGAGCUGGGUUUAGACAGUCGUGAGACAGGUUAGUUUUACCCUACUGAUGAUGUGUUGUUGCAAUAGUAAUCCUGCUCAGUACGAGAGGAACCGCAGGUUCAGUCAUUUGGUGUAUUUGCUUGGCUGAGGAGCCAAUGUGCGAAGCUACCAUCUGUGGGAUUAUGACUGAACACCUCUAAGUCAGAAUCCCCCCUAAACGUACCGAUACCGUAGCGCCGCGGAUCUUCGGUUGGCCCGGGAAAGCCUGCCUCUUUUGGCAGGUGAGUAGACCUGUUCGUGACGUGGUUGGGGUGUGGCCGGAUGAGUUGCCGCCCCUCUCCUGAUGCACACCAUUAUGUUUGUGGGGAACCUGGUGCUAAAUCACUCGUAGACGACCUGAUUCUGGGUCAGGGUUUCGUACGUAGCAGAGCAGCUCACUCGCUGCGAUCUAUUGAAAGUCAGCCCUCGAUCCAAGCUUUUGUCGGGACA